rnacentral:tRNA from 1 species
GGGCAGGUGGCAGAGCGGUUGAAUGCACCGGUCUUGAAAACCGGCGGACCCUCACGGGUCUCGUGGGUUCGAAUCCCACCCUGCCCG